rnacentral:rRNA from 1 species
GGCGUGUAUAUCCCGCAACAAGCGCAAUCUUUGCUUUGUUGCUAGCAUUAAGUUGGGCCCUAUGGGAAUGGCCGGGAUAAAACUGGGGGAGGGGGGGGGGGACUUCAAUUCUUCUGGGCCUUAUGCACCGGGCUUACCCCCUGCUUCAAUGGGUGGUACAAAGGGUUGCCAACCUCCGAGGUGGAGCUAAUCUCUUAAAGCCUGUCUCAGUUCGGAUUGGAGUCUGAAACUCGCCUCCAUGAAGUCGGAAUUACUAGUAAUCGCAGAUCAAAAUGCUGCGGUGAAUGCGUUCCCGGGCCUUGAA